GGAUUAGAUACCCUGGUAGUCCACGCCGUAAACGAUGGACACUAGCUGGUGGGUUCGUAUGGAUUCACUGGCGGAGCUAACGCAUUAAGUGUCCCGCCUGGGGAGUACGUCCGCAAGGAUGAAACCCAAAGGAAUUGACGGGGGCCCGCACAAGCGGUGGAGCAUGUGCUUUAAUUCGAUGCAACGCGAAGAACCUUACCUGGCCUUGACAUACCAAUGCCUACUGCAGAGAUGUGGUUUUUUCUUCGGAAACAUUGGAUACAGGUGCUGCAUGGUUGUCGUCAGCUCGUGUCG
rnacentral:rRNA from 1 species